UAGGGAAUCUUCCACAAUGGACGAAAGUCUGAUGGAGCAACGCCGCGUGAGUGAUGAAGGGUUUCGGCUCGUAAAACUCUGUUGUUGGAGAAGAACAGGUGUGAGAGUAACUGUUCACAUCUUGACGGUAUCCAACCAGAAAGCCACGGCUAACUACGUGCCAGCAGCCGCGGUAAUACGUAGGUGGCAAGCGUUGUCCGGAUUUAUUGGGCGUAAAGCGAGCGCAGGCGGUUUCUUAGGUCUGAUGUGAAAGCCUUCGGCUUAACCGGAGAAGUGCAUCGGAAACCAGGAGACUUGAGUGCAGAAGAGGACAGUGGAACUCCAUGUGUAGCGGUGAAAUGCGUAGAUAUAUGGAAGAACACCAGUGGCGAAGGCGGCUGUCUGGUCUGUAACUGACGCUGAGGCUCGAAAGCAUGGGUAGCGAACAGGAUUAGAUACCCUGGUAGUCCAUGCCGUAAACGAUGAGUGCUAAGUGUUGGGCAG
rnacentral:rRNA from 1 species